rnacentral:misc_RNA from 1 species
GAAGGCCACAAAUUGCAAAACUAGCGGUAGAACUGGUGGAGCAUCGUCUAUCCAAAGAUGGGUGGCCCGAGUACUAUGAUGGCAAGACUGGCCGGUAUGUUGGAAAACAAGCAAGGAAGUAUCAGACUUGGAGCAUUGCUGGCUAUUUGGUUGCUAAAAUGAUGAUAGAGAAUCCUUCCAAUCUUCUAAUAAUCUCUCUUGAAGAGGACAAAAAGAUUGUCAAGCCAAGUAUCGCCCGCUCUGCCUCAUUUUGAGGGGAACCACAAUAAAAAUUUCAGAGAGAGCGAAUAAAUACAAUUGCAGAUAUUAAAGGUC